ensembl:lncRNA
GUUGAACACAAACACUGCUAAUGGGUGCAGCUUUUCUCAGAGUGAGAUCUUUAUUAUAGAGAUCUACCAUGGAAACAAUUACACGAUGACAAAAUUUUUGCUGCUAUUGCUGAUAUUCCUUUUUUCCUUAACCCCAGAAAAUCUAACCCAGCAAAACUUAUUUAUUUAUUUAUUUAUUUAUUUUUGUUGGGAGCAACAUCUUUGCGAGGCACCGCUGUCUGUGUAGCUAUAGCAGCAAUUUAUUCGGUGCGUGACCCAGUGACGACGUGGGGGAAUUCUGCCUGAUGCAAUGGAGAAUGUGAGAUGUUGACAACUUUCCCAACAGCGGCUCAUCAGCGGGAAAUAGGUGAGCACCUGACUUCUAACAGAAAGGAGUUAGUUUACCCAGCAAUUAUGUGUCUCCUAACUACUGCUUGGUAUUUAAAGAGAUGAUUUGGUGUUGAGGAAAACAGAUAUGCUUCAGAUAUGGGGCGGAUGAGGCCUCAGAUGCGUGGGUACAAUGCUGUGGGACCCAAGCCUGCUGCAGAACCUAUAAGAGCUGAAAAAAAAGCCAUACUUAGGACUGGGAGCUCACAAAUAGCCUGUCCAGGUAAGGCCUGCUCUAAACGGUGCUGUUUUUCAAGUAUUUGCAUAUGUCCAGAGUGCAUUUCAAUGAGAAUGAGACCAAAAUUCUGGAGAUGCUUUUGCACCACUAAUCCAGAGGGCAGGGAUUUUGUGUCUGCGCGGGGUGGCAUUUUUUCUUCCGAGCAGUGGGACUUCCUCCUAUUGCUGAUCCAAACAUGCCACCUACUGUUUGUUGGAAGGGAGACAUGGUGUAGCCAGUAAAACCGGUGCAAACAUUAACCAGACUAGAUGCAGUGCACCUGGAAAACACUCUCCAGCAGCCAGCUGGAGAACCUGGCCAUCACAGGUUCAUCUGCUCUCCACCAUCACAGAAGAAUCAUCCUGCAACCUGGUGCUUCGGACGUGCACAUGUCAGGAAGCAGCAAUGCCAAAGCCUGGACAGCAGGAGGAAGCAAACAUAGAGUGGGGCAGGAAAAACUGGUGUUAAAAUGAUACUGGCUUUGCAAGGCAACACUCAUCGGCUACUUCAUAGCAAUAACACAGGGGGUCUCUGAGAGGAAGCCGUGUCUCUGUAGGAGGGAAACUUAAGGAAUGAACCACAGAAUAGUUGGGGUUGGCAGGGCCCUGUGGGUCCAUGUGGCACAACCCCUGCUCCAACAGGGACAGCCAGCACAGGGAGCCCAGCAUUUUCCUUGUUGGACUUCAUGCCAUCGCUGUCACCCAGACCCCCGUGUUUCUAUCUGGACCCCCCUAGGCUUCUCCUAGUGUUGUGGAUGCCACUGACAACACUGCAGCACGGGGAAAGAUCUGCUCCUGCUUCCCUGCUGCCUCUCCUCGCAGGCCUCGGCCCUGGCCUGCUGCUGAGGGAGGGAGGCCAUGUUGGGCCUGCAUGCUGGGGUGCCAGGUGCCUCAGGACCGUCUCGCUUGUAGGGGACCCAGCUGGCUGUGGCGAUGCAACUGCGGUGCCCUUCUGUGGCAAAGAUAGAGAACUGCAGCCCUCUUUCAGGCUCCUUUGUGCAAACCAAGCAGGUUUGCCCUGGGCAGGAGAGCUACAAGCUGAGAUCCUUGUAAGGGCUGAGAGGUGGCAGAUGCCCACAGAGAGGGGAGGAAAGAAGGGGUUAAAGCACAGAGGGAGGGACGAGGCUACAGCUAGCAGAUGUCUGGGGCUGAAAAGUAGGUCACCUAUUUCUGCCGGGGGGGUGGGAUUUGAAAAUCGACAUGGAUGUGCAAACAAAGCCAAGCAGCGCAUCAAGGAGUAGAACUGAAGGCUCGAGCCUGGCAGAGAUCCUCUGAGGACACCGUGCUGCUAUAGCACAUCGGGAACAGCUAUUAAUUAAGAUUAUCUUUUCAAAAAUUACUUUAUCUUCAUGAGCACAUAUAACUCUUGUUGACGUCUUUGCCACGGAGUGCACGGAGGACCGUCACUCCUGAGGCUGUGGUCUUUGGUGUGCAUGUCUCUCUCUUUUCUAAGGUAAAAAGGGUUAAAUACUACUGCCCAAGCAGGUCAUGAGGUCUCUGUAAGGCAUUCUCUGUCUCAGAGGUUGGAACUGUAUGUAGCUAAAUGUUAGGAACCUAAUCCAGGCACUCCUGAUCAUGUAAUAUACACCACACAUAUGGGGACAGCAGGCUGGGGGAGAUAGGAAGAGAUGGGGUGAAACGAAGCAAGUUAAUCCACAGAAAGUGGGUUUCUCUGGACAAGUCAGGAUGGCAUCAUUUGGUAACGAUUUAGUGUUGCUAAUUUAUUCAGAAAGAAUUUGAGGAGGAAUUCAGACUGACAUAAAAGCAAACGCUCUGAUCGGUUCAGAUUCUAGGUGCCUAGGUCUCUGUCAUAUACUAAUCGCUCCUGACACACCAUUGUCAUAGCAGUAUUUGGCUCACUGCAACACAAGAGAAUUUUCAGGCUCAAAAAACAAAUCUAAAAGACUCAUUACUUUGUACAAUUUGUUCAGCAAAAACAAAUGUAUUUCUUAGCCUUCUUUACUGCACGUUUAUCAGCAGCUUGGAUAUCAGCGAGACACCUCUGAAAUAGUUUAAAUGCUGCAGAAGACACAGAUUUCCAAGCUACUGCUAAAAAUUAUAGCAGUUUGGGAGGAACGCAGCACAGAACAGGUACCAAGCACCCCUUAGAGCUCUCCAGUGCAGAAUAUUCCAUGGCCUAUUUUAAAACUUUUGUCCAUUGAUGUCCUCCUUGAUGUUUUCUCUUUCCUCUGUUCCUUCCUACCUGGAACAAGGCAGUGAAAUGCAGAGCCAGACUCUGGUUUUACUGUUGCAGUAUUUAAACCACAGACCAGUUUUCAUCUUGAUCUGCUUGGGGCUGAUACGCCGUUUUCUAUAGUGGAAAGGGACGAAAGAGAAGGGUGAGAGAACAUUUACAGCAGAAAUGACGUGGAAUUGAUGAGGUGAUUACUCCCUUGUUCACAAAUAUCCCUGGGUGAGACAGCCUAUUUUGAUCAUCUCUCACUCCUGUGCUUCAGUUCCACAGAAAUACAGAAUAAGUAGUUACUGGGCACUUGUAUCUGAGCUGGUUGGGAAGUGAUCCAAUCUGUGUGCCUUUAUUUUCCUAAGAACAGUACCAUGGAGGUAAUUUCUCCACCUUGUUUUUCCUCUGUGCUUGUUUAAUCAGCUUAGCUAUUAAAAGAUAACAAGGGUUUAGGACUAUCAUUAGCCUGGAGUGGUCAUGUGGUUGUACUGGUAAUUAGCACCGCUGUUGAACUCAGCAUUGUUUAAUAGGUAACUAUAAAAACAGUACCACUACACUGCUAUAGAAGCAAGAAAAAGUGAAGUCCUUCUCUUCUUGAAUCUGCACCCAAUUAUUUGUUUAGCAGCUUUCUUAUCUUGUUUAUCUUCUGUGAUAUUAAUAUCUAUAUUCAAAUCAUUUAACUGCUUGAAAUGGGAUUAAGACCCUACAGUCUAAAACUGCACUCCUGAGACAAUUCUGCUGAGCUGCCCUGUAAGCUUUCAGGUACCAAAAACCCCUGGGAGGGCCCUGAGAGGGCCGGGUAUCUCUGAUCUGAAUCUGAACACAGGAACUCUGUACUGCUUGGACUCUCCCAUACCCUUCUUUGCCCCUGGACAUUAAUAGAUUGCUUCAAAGAGCUAAAGGACAUUGAAAACCAUAACCUCAGGAGCUGGGGAGUAAGAGGGGGGUGGCAUACAGAUAUGCUAGAAAACCCUGUAUCAAUCUAUUUGACAUCUGUAUUAUAUCUAGCUCUGGAAGCAAUGGAUUCACAAAACUUCUGGAAAAAAUGUCCUACAUCUGGUUAGUGUGCAUCACAGUUCUAUAACAAUAACGCUUUGUUGGAAGGCACAGUGCUAAAAACUAGGAUGCGAGCAGAGAAGAAACAUCAAAGUGAUACUGUGGAGAGGAUUUUGGUGUAAAGUAAAGCAAGGAUCCAAGAAGUAUAAAACCUUCAAGGUAAGAAAAUCUGUGCAAUUAGUGGCAUCAUGCAAUUGCUUGCUUCUGCAAAGUCCUGGCUCUGCUCAGCAAAAGAAGCUAUUUGGAGCAUGCCGUCGGGCCAAGAGGUCUACGUUAAUUGGAAAGAAGAAAGAAUUUGUGACAAAGGCACUGCCAGGGCACUUGCCUAACUGAUGAGCUACUUUGUGAUCCACAGCCAGGAAGGCCAACCUUCCAGGCCUCUGGUUUUACUUCCCCAUUUAAUUAUUUGUCAGAAAAGGGGCCAUCUCCUUUUAAUGGUUUGUAUGAUGCAUAAAACAGUGAAGUCUUUGGCUCUGUUGCCUUAAUACAAAUGCACACUGCAUGUGGCUUGUUUACAAGAGCCUUCCAAACUAAAUGUGAAGCAAGAAGCUGUGAACUACGUAAGUAGGUAAAGAUAAUCCUGUGAUAUCUUGAGGGAAGAAGUUGCAGCAAGCACAGAUGAAGUCCUGCAGUAACUUAAUGCAAGACUGCUUUUCUUCUUUCUGUACUGUAUAUCCCAUGCAUUAUCUGUUGCUCUGCAAAUUUUCAUCUCAGCAGGGAGAGGACAAGGAUGGAUAUCACCGGGACUAUCAGGAAGCAGAAGAUAAAAGAAGUUCAAGCUUUACACUUUGUAUGUGGAGCUUCAGAUCCUGAAGGGAAAACGUCAGGCUUCUCAUGUUAAAAUAAUGGGUUUUCAUGACUGUAGAAUGCAACAAGGCAUAGGUCUUGGCAGAUCUUAUUUACGGGCAGUUUUGGUCAGACCAUGCCCGUGUGGAUGCCCGUAUGUCCUUCAAGGUUGAUCUGUAAGCACGUUGACGACGUUCAACUAAAUGAAAAAGGAUUGAAAU